UACGUAGGGUGCAAGCGUUGUCCGGAAUUAUUGGGCGUAAAGAGCUCGUAGGCGGCCUGUCGCGUCGGAUGUGAAAAUCCAAGGCUCAACCUUGGACCUGCAUUCGAUACGGGCAGGCUAGAGUUCGGUAGGGGAGACUGGAACUCCUGGUGUAGCGGUGAAAUGCGCAGAUAUCAGGAGGAACACCGGUGGCGAAGGCGGGUCUCUGGGCCGAUACUGACGCUGAGGAGCGAAAGCGUGGGGAGCGAACAGG
rnacentral:rRNA from 1 species